rnacentral:rRNA from 1 species
UACGGAGGGUGCAAGCGUUGUCCGGAAUCACUGGGCGUAAAGGGCGCGUAGGCGGCUCAUGAAGGCUGUGGUGAAAGUCCGGGGCUCAACCCUCGGAUCGGCCGUGGCGACUCGUGGGCUGGAGCACUGUAGAGGCAGGUGGAAUUCCGGGUGUAGCGGUGGAAUGCGUAGAGAUCCGGAAGAACACCAGUGGCGAAGGCGGCCUGCUGGGCAGUGGCUGACGCUGAGGCGCGACAGCGUGGGGAGCAAACAGG